UAGCUCACUGGUAGAGCAAGUGUUUGGCACCCACAAGGUCCUGGGUUCAAUCCCCAG
rnacentral:tRNA from 1 species